rnacentral:lncRNA from 1 species
ACUCUCUCGCGAGAGGGCCGCAGAGCCGCCUUUGACGGGGGCGUGUACCUGGAGAGCAACGGAGCCUAUGAGGUUGGUCCUAUUUUUACUCUCACUUAUCCCUACUUACCAGAUGAGGAUCCUGAGGCUCAGAAAAACUCUUGACAAAAUUCUCAGGGAAAACUCUUCAGCUCUGGAUGUCUCCCUUUUUGUGGAUCAAACACAAAGGGCAUCAUUCUAAAAUAUAUACAGAACCAUAAAAGCCCCAAAUAGCCAAAGCAACCCUGAGCAAAAAGAACAAGGCUGGAAGCAUCACACUACCAGACUUCAAAAUUUACUACAAAGCUCUAAUACCUAAAAUAACAUGGUACUGGCAUUAAAAAAAAAAAAAAAAUAGGCACAUAGACCACCAAUGAAACAGUAUAGAGAAUCUAGAUAUACCAACUCAUCUUUAACAAAGGUGCCAAGAACAUACAAUGAGGAAACGAUGGUCUUUUCAAUAAAUGGUGUGGGGGAAAGCUAGAUAACUAUAUGCAGAAGAAUGAAACAAGAUUCCUCUCUCUCGCUAUACACAAAAAUCAAAUCAAAAUGGAUUAAAGGCUUAAAUCUAAGACCUGAAACUACAAAACUAGAAGAACACACUGGAGAAGUGCUCCAGGACCUUGGUCUGGGAAAAGAUUUUUUUGUUUAAGACCUCAAAAGCACAGACAACAAAGCAAAAACAGACAAAUGAGAUUACAUUAAGCUAAAAAGUUUCUGCACAGCAAAGGAAACACUCAACAGAGUGGGGGAGACAACCCACAGAAUGAGAGAAAACAUUUUCAAACUAUCCAUCCGACAAGGGAUUAAUGACCAGAAUAAAGAGACCAAACAAUUUAAGCCAAAAACAAAACAAACAAACACACAAAAAAAACAAAAGCCAAAUAAUCUAAAAAGUGGGCAGGUUGGGUGGGGUGGCUCAAGCCUAUAAUCCCAGCACUUUGGGAGGCCAAGGCAGGCAGGUCAAGAGAUCGAGACCAUCCUGGCCAACAUGGUGAAACCCCAUCUCUACUGAAAAUACAAAAAAAAUUAGCCGGGUGUGGUGGCAUGUGCCUGUAGUCCCAGCUACUUGGGAAGCUGAGGCAGUGAGAAUCGCUUGAACCUGGGAGGCAGAGGUUGCAGUGAACCAAGAUCACACAACUGCACUCCAGCCUGAUGACAGAGCGAGACUCCAUCUUGAAAAAAAAAAAAAAAAAAGUGGGCAAAAGAUCCAAACAGACAUUUCUCAAAGGAAGACAUAAAAAUGGCCAACAGGUAUAUGAAAAAAUGCUCAACAUUACUAAUCAUUAGAGAAAUGCAAAUUAAAACAACAUGUUAUUUCACCCCAGUUAAAAUGGCUUGUAUUAAGAAAACAGAUAAUAACAGAUGCUAGUGAGGAUGUGGAGAAAAGAGAACCCUCAUACACUGUUGGUAGAAAUGUAAACUAGUACAACCACUAUGAAGAACAGUAUGGAAGUUCUUCAAAAAACUAAAAAUAGAAUUACCAUAUGAUCCAGCAAUUCCACUACUGAAUAUGUAUCCAAAAGAAAGGAAAUCCGUAUAUCAAAAAGAUAUCUGCACUCCCAUGUUUAUUGCAGCAUUGUUCACAAUAGCCAAGAUAUGGAAUUAACCUAAGUGCCCAUCAAUGGGUGAAUGGAUAAAGUGUGGUGGAUGGAAAGCCGAUUUCCAGUCUUUAUGAUAACGCCGAUGUUCCACUUGGGAAAGAUACUGUACAACAAUGAAAGUAGCCCUUUCUUUUGUCUUUCAAAGAAUGUAUUUUUAACAAACAGCCUCUGUGUGAUCCUUUUGACCACACAAUUUGUAGAGUUAACGCUGAAAUUUUCAUUAGCAACAAUGAAAGCACACACAGGCACAAUAUUAAUAUAGAUUAAUAUCAGCCUAUUUUGGUCAGAAAGGCUCAUUUAAAUGUUUAAGAGACAGAAGUCCCAAAUUGUAGUAAUUUCUUCCACUAGCAGGAGGAAGCUCAGAAUUAGUUUUUCUACAACACUAGAGGAAUACUACUCAAAAAUAAAAAGGAAUUAACCAUUGAUACAUGCAACAACACAGAUGAAUCUCAAAGUAAUUGUGCUGAAAGAAACCAGACCCAGAAAAAGAUAAAUUCUAUAUGAUCUCAUUUAUAUAAGACUCUAGGAAAUGCAAACUAAUCUACACAUACAGAAAACUGAGGGCAGGUACUGAGAAGGGUAGGAGGGGGGCGUUACAGAGAGGCAUGAGGAAACUUUUUGGGGUGAUAGAUAUGUUUACUACUUUGAUUGUAAGGAUGAGGUCGCAACUCUGUGCGUGUCAGUGGUAUAUUUUAAUAUGAACGGCUUAUUUUAUGUAAAUUCUACCCCUAUAAAGCUGUUUUUUUUAAAAAAAAAAACUUCUCUUUGAGAGACAUCACCUUUGUCUUUUAAACCAUCUAAUGUUGAAUCUAAAAGUUCAGUGUAAAGUUUAAUAAAAUCAGAGUGUGUAUGUGUCUUAAUUUCCAGGACAUAUAAUCAUAGUGAUUAAGCCAAAAGUGCUUAUAUGAUUACCUAUAAACUAUCAUAGUUAAAUGACUAAAUACCCUGCAUAAGGUAAAAUGAUUAUUUUAUUCCUAUAGAUUGAAAUUGCCCAACUUUUUAUUAGAGAAUAAUAGAUUAGAGGGCAUGUUGGCUCAUACCUGUAAGCCCAAUGCUUUGGGAGGCUGAAGCGGGAGGAUCCCUUGAGGCCAGGAGUUGAAGAUCAGCUUGGGCAACAUAGCAAGACCACAUCUCUACAAAAAAAUUUAAAAUAAAAUGUUUAUCCAAGCAUAGUGGCACUCACUCACCUGUAGUACUAGCUGCUGAGGAAGCUGAGGCCUGGAGUUCAAACUGCACAACGCUGCACUUCAACCUAUGUGACAAAGUGAGAUCCUAUCUCUAAAAUAAUUAAUUCAGUUUUUAUAAUUAGGGAACAUUUAAAUUCAGAUUAUAAGUAAAAAAUGGAAUAAACAGUCCUGUUACCUGAUAUGGUUUGGAUCUCCAUCCCUACCCAAAUCUUAUGUUGAAAUGUAAUCCCCAAUGCUGGAGGUGGGGCCUGGUGGGAGAUGAUUGGAUCAUGGUGGUGGUUUCUCAUGGUUUAACACCAUCGUCCCCUGGUGCUGUCGCCGUGAUGAUGAAUUCUCACGAGAUCUGGUUGGUUUAAAAGUGUGUGGCACCUCCCCCUUCUCUCUUGCUCCUGCUCCUACCAUGUGAGAUGCCUUGGUCCCCCUUUGCCUUCCGCCAUGAUUCAGAGUUCUCUGAGGCCUCCCCAGAAGCAGAUGCUGCCAUGCUUUCUGUACAGCCUGCAGAACCGUAAGCCAAUUAAACCUCUUUUCUUAUACAUUACCCAGUGUCAGAUAUUUCUUUAUAGCAGUGUGAGAAUGGAUUAAUACACUACGUCAUGCAAAAUGUAAAAACAGGCAACUCACUGAGAGUAAACCUAAUCAACUUGUUCAUUUAGAUAUAAACUGUAGAGACGACACUGCCAUCUAGUUGUUGAAUACUGAGUAUACUGUUGAAACAUUCUUGACAAUGUUCUAUUUCUCUUUUGUAGACUUACAAGGAACACACAGAAGCCCCUAACCAAUUACAUCUCCUUCCUAGGAGUGUGAAUGUGACUGCCAUAGUGCAGCCCAUGCUGCCCCUGGUAAUUAUAUGCCUCAACCCAAGCAGUGAUCUGUGGUCAGUGAUCUUUGAUGUUACUAUUUUGACCGUUUGUGGGCACCACAAACUGUGCCCAUAUAACAUCAGCGAACUUAAUAAAUGGUGUGUGUGUUCGGACUGCUCUACCAACCGGCCAUCCCCCUAUCUUUCUCCCUCUCCUCAAACCUCCUUAUUCCCUGAGACACAAUACUGAAAUCAGGCCAAUUAAUCACCCUGCAAUGGCCUCCCAGUGUUCAAGUUAAAAGAAGACUUGUACAUCUCUCAUUGUAAAUCAAAAGCUAGAAAUGGUUAAGCUUAAUGAAGAGGCAUGUCAAAAGCCAAGACAGGCUAAAAAAGCUAGGGUCUUGUGCCAAACCAUUAAUUCUUGAAGGAAAUUAGAAGUGUUACUCCAGUAAACACCUAAGAAAACCUUAUUGCUGAUACGGAGAAAAAGUUUUAGUGGUCUGGAUAGAAAAUCAAACCAGCCACAACAUUCCCUUAGGCCAAAGCCUAAUCCAGAGCAAGGUUCUAAAUUCAAUUCUAUGAAGACUGAGAGGUAAGGAAGCUACAGAAGUUUGAAGCUAGUAGAGGUUGGUUUAUGAGGUUUAAAGAAAGAAGUCAUCUCCAUAAAUAAAAGUGCAAGGUGAAGCAGAAAGUGCUGAUGUAGAAGCUGCAGGAGUUUAUCCAGAUCCAGCUAAGACCAUUGUUAAAGGUGGCUAUACUCAGUAACAGAUUUUCAAUGUAGAUGUAACAAGCCUUUUAUUGGAAGAAGCCACCUUAGACUUUCACCGCUACAGAGAAGUCAGUGCCUGGCUUCAAAUCUUCCAAGAACCGGCUGACUUGUUAAAAGCUAAUGCUGCUGGUGACUUUAUAUUGAAGCCAAUGCUCAUUUGCCAUUCUGAAAAUCCUAGGGCCCUUAACAAUUAUGCUAAAUCUACUCUGCCUGUACUCUAUAAAUGGGACAAAGCCUGGAAGACAGCACAUCUGUUUACAGCAUGAUUUACUGAAUAUUUUAAGCCCACCAUUGAGAUCUACUGCACAAAAAGAUUCCUUUCAAAAUAUUGCUGCUCAUUAACAAUCAUCUCGUAUCCCAAGAGCUCAGACGGAGAUGGACAACGAGAUUCAUGCUGUUUUCAAGCCUGCUAACACAAUGUCCACUCUAUAGCCCAUAGACCAUGGAGCAAUUUCAACUUUCAAGUCUUAUGAUUUAAGAAAUACAUGUUGUAAGGCUAUUGCUGCCAUAAAUAGUGAUUUCUCUGAUGGAUCUGUGCAAAGUAAAUUGAAAACUUUCUGGAAAGGAUUCACUAUUCUAGAUAUCAAUAAGAACAUUCAUGAUUCAUGGGAUGAGGGCAAAAUAUCAUUUACUGGAGUUUAGAAGUUGUUUCCUGUCCUCAGAGAUGACUUUUAAGGGUUCAAGACUUCAAUGGAGGAAGUAACUGCAGAUGUGGUAGAAAUUGCAAGAUAACUAGAAUUAGGCCAGGUGUGGUGGCUCAAGCCUAUAAUCCCAGCACUUUGGGAGGCUAAAGUGGGCAGAUCGCUUGAGGCCAGGAGUUUGAGACCAGCCUGGAGUGAAACCCUGUCUCUACAAAAAAUGCAAAAAAUUAGCCAGGCAUGGUGGCGUGUACCUGUAGUCCCAGCUACUCUAGAGGCUAAAGUGGGAGGAUCACUUGGGCCCAAGAGGUAGAGGCUGCAGUGAGCUGUGAUGGUGCCACUGCACUCCAGCCCGGGGGCAGAGCAAGACCCUAUCUCAAAAAGAAAAAAGGCCAGACGUGGUGGCUCAUGCCUGUAACUCCAGCACUUUGGGAGGCCAAGGCGGGAAGAUCAUUUGAGCUCAGAAGUUCAAGACCAACCUGGGCAACAUGGCAAAAUCCUGUCUCUACUAAAAAUACAAAAAUUAGCCAGGUGUAGUGGCACGCACCUGCAGUCUUAGUUCUUGGGAGGG